GGAUAACUCAGUGGGUUAGAGCAUGGUGCUGAUAACGCCAAGGUUGCAGGUUUGAUCCCCGCAUGAGACA